AUUGAACGCUGGCGGCAUGCUUUACACAUGCAAGUCGAACGGUAACAGGCCGCAAGGUGCUGACGAGUGGCGAACGGGGGAGUAAUGCAUCGGAACGUGCCCAGUCGUGGGGGAUAACUACUCGAAAGAGUAGCUAAUACCGCAUACGAUCUAUGGAUGAAAGCGGGGGACCGUAAGGCCUCGCGCGAUUGGAGCGGCCGUUGUUAGAUUAGGUAGUUGGUGGGGUAAAGGCUCACCAAGCCAACGAUCUGUAGCUGGUCUGAGAGGACGAGCGGCCACACUGGAACUGAGACACGGCCCAGACUCCUACGGGAGGCAGCAGUGGGGAAUUUUGGACAAUGGGCGAAAGCCUGAUCCAGCAAUGCCGCGUGCAGGAAGAAGGCCUUCGGGUUGUAAACUGCUUUUGUACGGAACGAAACGGCUCUGGUUAAUACCCGGGGAUAAUGACGGUACCGUAAGAAUAAGCACCGGCUAACUACGUG
rnacentral:rRNA from 1 species